GAUCUGCCCUGCACUUUGGGAUAAGCCUGGGAAACUGGGUCUAAUACCGAAUACACCUCUGGGGUUGCAUGACCUUGGGGGGAAAGCUUUUGCGGUGUGGGAUGGGCCCGCGGCCUAUCACUUGUUGGUGAGGUUAUGGCUCACCAAGGCGACGACGGGUAGCCGGCCUGAGAGGGUGACCGGCCACACUGGGACUGAGAUACGGCCCAGACUCUACGGGAGGCAGCAGUGGGGAAUAUUGCACAAUGGGCGCAAGCCUGAUGCAGCGACGCCGCGUGAGGGAUGACGGCCUUCGGGUUGUAAACCUCUUUCAGUAGGGACGAAGCGAAAGUGACGGUACCUGCAGAAGAAGGACCGGCCAACUACGUGCCAGCAGCCGCGGUAAUACGUAGGGUCCGHGCGUUGUCCGGAAUUACUGGGCGUAAAGAGCUCGUAGGUGGUUUGUCGCGUCGUUCGUGAAAACUCACA
rnacentral:rRNA from 1 species